CCUGACAGUUAACUGUGAAACUAUUAAUGCUGGUACAGAACCUACCAUGGAAGUUGUUUCAAAAGUUUUAGGAUGGUUGCAACUCCCUCAAGAUGAUUCUUUGAGAAGCAAACUUGUUGAGAACCUUGAAGUUACUGUUGAUCCAUCAAGGUACUCUAGCCUUGGUUCACUUCUAGAUGGAUUUGGCGAAUAUGAUCCUUGUGCUUUUUAUUACUUGAGGAACCUGCUUCUUUUGGGAUUGUUCCAUGCGUAUCUUUCAAAAAAAGUCCUAUUGUUGUAGAUGCAAGAGAGUUUCAAAUUAAUACAGCGGAGGUAUAUCUCUUUACUAUAUUGACAGGUCUCAAGCAUCGGCUUGCUGCUGGUAAUGUGAUCUCCUUUUCUUUUCUUUUAUUAUCUACUCUGGGAUUUACCAUGAAUUUUAAAUAAAUCCUUGAUUUGUAAGACUGCUGGAACCAUGAGAGUCUUUUAGCAGAAGACUAUUGAUGCAAGGGGAAAAAUGCGUGGGAGAAGCAGUUGGCUGUUAAGAGCAGUUGAGAGAGUCAGUUCAUCAGUUAAUAAUCAGUUGCAAUUCCAGUUGUAAAUAGUUGAAAGUUGUUAGGAGGGUUUAAAUACAGCAAUUGUAAAUUGAGAAGCUAUGUUGAAUAAUACCAUUUUCAUUCUAGGAAUUUUCUUUUCUCU